rnacentral:lncRNA from 1 species
ACUUUUACCGAAGGCCUUCCAUGUGUCUAACUGCAGUUCUCUCUGUUGCAAGUUAAGCCGGAACUGAAAGACCAGAAACCAGCCUGCCCUAGUCAAAGAAAGUUAGGGCCCAACCAGCCUCUCCCCAAGAAGCAGGGUAAGGUGGGGCAUUCAUCUCUCUGGACCCUUUUCCCCAGCCUGAGCCAGCCUUUGGGUGAGUUUCCUGCUAUUGGGAAAAUUCCUCCUCCAGUCUAACUAUGAUCACUUACAGUGAAGUUCAUUUCUGCCUCUCAGGGUCUCCCAUUUCUCUGGAGAAACCAGAAGCACAGAGAGGCCUGGGACAGAGCCUUCGGGGUAGGGAGGAGGUCCCAGGGAAGAACCUGGUUGCCAAAGUCUCGGCCAGUUGGAGAAGAGAUGGGUCUCCCGAGGAUACCCAAGCCCAAGCUCUACACUGUCCCAAGGUGGUUUGUUUUUCUUCUUUCUUCUAUUGGUCUGGACCUUGUAUAUUCUGGGAGGAGGUGAUUAAGGCCAAAUUGCCUUAAGUGGCCAUCCAGCCAGAAGCUGGAAGAAGGGAAGGAUGAGAGGGAAUGAACUGUUGUGUUACGGCUAUUGAGAGAAACAGUGGCAAUACACAGCCAAAGCCCUGAGUUUCUAAUACGGCGCCACCUCUUAUGAGCUGUGAGAUCUUGGGCAAAGUAACUAACCUUUAAGUAUUUGUCUGUAGAAUUGAGAUUGAAAUACUUAUCUUUGCCAGAAUUGUUAUAAGAAUUAAAUGAGUUGAAAGUGUUUCAUCAAGUGUGCAAUGCUACUCAAGUAGGAGGGACUAAGCUACUUCCUUCUCUCACUGCUUGACUGAGCUUCUCUCCAGCCCCACCCCCUGAUGUUUACUGCUUAUGGAGAAAGAGAUUAAGUGAAGCAGGCCCACACAUUCAUGAAGGUGGAAGGAAGAUGUAGCAGGAGAUGGUGGAGAGGGAAACAGAGGAAGACAGGAUGACAGACGUGGGGAGGAAAGGCUGAGCGAGGCAAUGUCCUGACUCACUCUGGCGCUUCCCUCUUUCCCAUCUGGGCUCCAGAGUCUCUGCCCUCAUUCCCCUUCACCAGGUUGCUCAACCCUCCAUCAGACUGUUAGGUCAAGGGUGGACAAACAGACCAACCGGGAUCUGGAUGGCCCCUGGGCAGUACUGACUUCCCCUACCAUUCCCAUGGCAAGAAAAGGGAGUGAUUCCACUAGCAGACUCCCCUACCCUGCAGUGAGACAGCCUGUAGGAAGCCUCAACUCCCGACCCAUGGCCUGUGGUGAGAGGUGCUAACAACAUGACCUGCUUUCAUCUUGACCUUCCCAGCCCACCCAGAGAAAAGGGAAUCUUGGCUAAAAAAAGGCUGGAAGAGGGGAGAACCCUGGCACUGCGGGUGGGGCUGGGAGGAGCCCAGGCAACCUUACUGGUGAGAAUCUCAUGGCUCUUCAAGCUGACUGCUAAGCUGGAUGCGUAGGGGAAAGCAGAGAAAAGGUGAUUUACUGGGACACAGAGACACAGGCUGGAAGAGAUAGCAUGUGUUUCCUUAAAAUUUGAAGCAUUUGGCUGGGCACAGUGGCUCACACCUGUAAUCCCUGCACUUUGGGAGGUAAAGGCAAGAGGAUUUCCUGGGCCCAAGAGUUAGAGGCUGCAGUGAGCUAUGAUUGUGCCAUUGUACUCCAGCCUGGGAGACAGAAACCCCCUCUCUUAAAAAAAUAAAAAAAUAAAAAAUGGAACCAUUGCUCUGAGUUUCUAAUAGGGGGAGU